rnacentral:rRNA from 1 species
GACGAACGCUGGCGGCGUGCUUAACACAUGCCAGUCGAACGGAAAGGCCCUGCUUUUGUGGGGUGCUCGAGUGGCGAACGGGUGAGUAACACGUGAGUAACCUGCCCUUGACUUUGGGAUAACUUCAGGAAACUGGGGCUAAUGCCGGAUAGGUGCUCCUGCUGCAUGGUGGGGGUUGGAAAGUUUCGGCGGUUGGGGAUGGACUCGCGGCUUAUCAGCUUGUUGGUGGGGUAGUGGCUUACCAAGGCUUUGACGGGUAGCCGGCCUGAGAGGGUGACCGGCCACAUUGGGACUGAGAUACGGCCCAGACUCCUACGGGAGGCAGCAGUGGGGAAUAUUGCACAAUGGGCGGAAGCCUGAUGCAGCAACGCCGCGUGCGGGAUGACGGCCUUCGGGUUGUAAACCGCUUUCGCCUGUGACGAAGCGUGAGUGACGGUAAUGGGUAAAGAAGCACCGGCUAACUACGUG